CACGUAGUUAGCCGUGGCUUUCUGAUUAGGUACCGUCAAGACGUGCACAGUUACUUACACAUUUGUUCUUCCCUAAUAACAGAGUUUUACGAUCCGAAGACCUUCAUCACUCACGCGGCGUUGCUCCGUCAGGCUUUCGCCCACUUGCGGAAGAUUCCCUACUGCUGCCUCCCGUAGGAGUCUGGACCGUGUCUCAGUUCCAGUGUGGCCGAUCACCCUCUCAGGUCGGCUACGUAUCGUUGCCUUGGUAAGCCAUUACCCCACCAACUAGCUAAUACGGCGCGGGUCCAUCUAUAAGUGAUAGUAAAACCAUCUUUCACUUUAGAACCAUGCGGUUCUAAAUAUUAUCCGGCAUUAGCCCCGGUUUCCCGGAGUUAUUCCAGUUCUUAGUAGGUUACGGUUACCACGUUGUUACUCCACCCCGGUCCGCCGACUUAACCGUACGAAAGGAGACAAGUCCUUCCUUUAUUC
rnacentral:rRNA from 1 species